GUGAGGAACAGCUGAGCUGAGCUGGUGAAGCUGCUGAAGACAUUUUACUGUCAAACACCUUAUCUGCCUGUUCUGUCUGCGUUUGGGUCCAGUCCCUGUUUUUCUGCAUAACCCACCGUGACACUUACGUUUACUUUGUGCCUCUGGUUGUUUGUGUGGUUCUGAUUGUCCUGCUGUUGGCUGGUUAUCUGCUGCUGCUCUUCAAAUGGAUGAAAAACAGAAACCUCAGAUCUUCAAAAAGCAGAAAUGUGGAGUUAUCUGGCGCCUCCAAGAACAGGACUCCAGUCUCCACUGGUGAAGACUCCACAUACCAGAGCCUCGAUCCUGCCAGCAGGGACCAGGACCAGAUCUACUCCUCACUCACUUAACCUUACAUAACUCCCAGAAAACCACAAAUAGUUGAAUCCUCACACAAACACAAGCUAAGAUCGUUUAGAAAGUGCAAGGAAACGAUUAACUAUUUAGAUGUACAUUUAUACAUAUGAUUUAGUCAUGUACUAAUAGUGAGUGUAUAAAUAAAUAUGUACAAACAUUUAUUGAUAUUUUUAAUUAAUGUUUAGAGGUGCAGAAGGUUUUGCAUUGUAUGUUCAAUUGUUACUGACUGCAGCCUCAUUGAGCACAUUGUGAAAGAAUGAAUGAAUGAA